AACGAACGCUGGCGGCAUGCCUAACACAUGCAAGUCGAACGAACCCUUCGGGGUUAGUGGCGCACGGGUGCGUAACGCGUGGGAAUCUGCCCUUUGCUUCGGAAUAACUCAGGGAAACUUGUGCUAAUACCGGAUGAUGUCUUCGGACCAAAGAUUUAUCGGCAAGGGAUGAGCCCGCGUAGGAUUAGGUAGUUGGUGGGGUAAAGGCCUACCAAGCCGACGAUCCGUAGCUGGUCUGAGAGGAUGAUCAGCCACACUGGGACUGAGACACGGCCCAGACUCCUACGGGAGGCAGCAGUGGGGAAUAUUGGACAAUGGGGGCAACCCUGAUCCAGCCAUGCCGCGUGAGUGAUGAAGGCCUUAGGGUUGUAAAGCUCUUUCACCGGUGAAGAUAAUGACGGUAACCGGAGAAGAAGCCCCGGCUAACUUCGUGCCAGCCGCCGCAGUAAGAC
rnacentral:rRNA from 1 species